rnacentral:rRNA from 1 species
AUUAGACGAAUCAUCUGGAAAGAUGAAUCAAAGAAGGUAAUAAUCCUGUAGUCGAAAAUGUUGUCUCUCUUGAGUGGAUCCUGAGUACGACGGAGCACGUGAAAUUCCGUCGGAAUCUGGGAGGACCAUCUCCUAAGGCUAAAUACUCUCUAGUGACCGAUAGUGAACCAGUACCGUGAGGGAAAGGUGAAAAGCACCCCGGAAGGGGAGUGAAAUAGAACCUGAAACCGUGUGCUUACAAGUAGUCAGAGCCCGUUAAUGGGUGAUGGCGUGCCUUUUGUAGAAUGAACCGGCGAGUUACGAUUUGAUGCAAGGUUAAGCAGUAAAUGUGGAGCCGUAGCGAAAGCGAGUCUGAAUAGGGCGUUUAGUAUUUGGUCGUAGACCCGAAACCAGGUGAUCUACCCUUGGUCAGGUUGAAGUUCAGGUAACACUGAAUGGAGGACCGAACCGACUUACGUUGAAAAGUGAGCGGAUGAACUGAGGGUAGCGGAGAAAUUCCAAUCGAACCUGGAGAUAGCUGGUUCUCUCCGAAAU